AGCAACGUUAUAACACACUUGGGAUAUAUCCAGCUGAAGAUAACGUUUCCAGAUUCUCAUUCGAUUGCACCACAAAUUAACAGAAUUAACGAGCAACGCCGUGGCCAGUGACAACAGGCACUACAGUGUUCGAGAGACGAGAAGAUAAUUGCGUUAAACCUGACGUUUCUUUUACGACGAUCUUUCAUGGCUGGUUAACCCAGACGUGUAACAAUCAUUUUCGUCGGAACGCACUUAUCGGCGAAAUGAACUGGGCAGUUUCCAUCUCAAGGUCAAUCUUUACAGCCUCGCCUUCAAGGAUCUUUAACUUUUAAGUGAAAAUAAGUCCAGGGAAAGUAUUGAAAGAUCUUGACCGAGAAAUCAUUGCGACAUAUUGUCAAGUACGAUUUUCGGAGGACAGAAAACUGCAUUGGAAUAACUGUUCAGCGCUGAGAAAAGCAAAUAGAAAAUAUUUGCAUUUCUUUUAGGCAGUUUCACGCCAUUCGAUACCACAAGUCAGUUUUUGCCACGAUCCAAUUGAUUCGUGGAAGGUAACUGUUGUGAUCUCCACUCGUCGUUAUCGUGCUUCCUCAGCGGAGAAGCUCCGCGUUUCUUUUCGUACCUUCGAAAGAAUAUCGAGAAGCUGAUUAUUUGCUUCACCAACGAUGACCAGCGUCGGGAUUUUUUCGCCGUUGAGCUUCCUCGCUUUGAGAAAUCCUUCUCAUCAUCGAGCAGCUCGAGAUCUCAAGGAUCUCGUAAUGAAAUUAACUACUCGAGCACUUUUUCCAGAAACCAAGGACUUCCGUUCGACGAUCGGUCGAGUCCCUCGCGUAAAUACAUUCUAGAAAUUAUGCGGCCGCAUCGGACCGUGUAUGCACGUGCAGCUCGCGUUUAAAUCGUGUAACCUAUCGGAAAAGAUCGUUACCAGGAACCAUAAGAGCCCCGGCCGCAUCGGCACGAGACACACGGGAUGAAUCUUCAAGAACCGGCACCAGAUGCAUCUAUCUGGCGGGUGAAGUUAAGCCGUUCCAUCGUUCGGGAACUUGCAUUGGUCAUCGUCUCGGGGUUCUACUAACGAGAAUGACUAAGAAUAGACGACUACGAGAGAUCCUGGACAGCUGCGACGCGGGGAGAGGCAACGAGACGCCGCGCCGGAGCUGAAGCCUGGAGAGAAGAGCGAGUAGUAGGCAAAGGGAGCCGGGUUAGGUAAAGCACAAAGGUAGGAGAGAAGGGAGGUAAAAAUGUUUGGUGAAAAAGAGAAGGAGGGGAGGAUAGGAAAGGGUGGGAGACGAAGAAAGACGAAAGGAGAGUGGCGAAGGGGGCAAGAAGAGAAAGAACGGGGGGCAGGAAGGGAAGAGGGAGUGGACCACGUUGAGGUCGCGACCCGUAGCCCGCAGGCCCCAGUGAAAGGCCCAACGGCGAUCCGCAUCCGCGGGGCCCUGAGCGAUCGAGACAGCCAACCUCACGAGAGACCGAGCGAAACCGAGACGAACGAGCCAGCGAGCCCUCUACCCGAGGCACCGUGAGCCGUUUCUUAAGAUCGCGUUCUUCUUAGCGAGCCCACUGCCAUUAUGGGGCACUUAAAGUGGCAAUCGUGUGGAAGGCAGCACCGCCGUGCGAUAGCCACGAGUUGCGCAACCUUCGGUGACCCCACCCUGCGAAACCACACCGUGAAUCGAGUCCUACGAAGGAGCAAGUGGAUCCAUGUUCGAUAACUAAUAAAUCGCUGAUAACUAGACGGUGACGAGUGGCCACGUUCCCCGGGAGAUUUGUAAUAGGAACGACGCGAAUGAUUGAUGCAAUUUGAGAAAAAGGGGAUAGCUGUUUGCAAAUAGUAGACACGAUUUUCCAAUAACUUCCUCUCUCUUUUAACCUCAAGACGAUAAAUAUAGAGUGGCCGGUUCUUCACACAGAUUCUUCGUGGCAGUGGAAGCUUCUCCCGGUGGCUGAGAGUCCGAACAAUCACGGAUACAGCUCUGAUCGAACGAUAAUUGGAUAGAUUACGCGGAACCUCCCCCCAACUCCGAUAGCAUCUCGUUUAUGCGCCCGUUUUAUGUGUUAUACGGCCCGUGGUCCUCUGCAACGUGUACUUGACUACAAUACGUUCACCUGGCCCAGUGUCUAUAAACACGAUACGGUGGUCGGUAUGAGAACAUUUUUGCUUGUUGUUAAUGCUUAAGAACCAUGGAGAAUGAUCGCGUUGGCUUCUUGACUUCCGACUUGGUCUGCUGCUGUCUUCAGCACUUCUACUUUCUCGUUCAUCCUGGAAAAUUAAUCCAUUAUACAUUCAGGCUUUAGUGCAAAACAAAAAAAAAAAAAAAAAAAAAGGAGGAGAAAACAGAGCAACUUUCUACGUAUUCUCGUGCAAAAUUAAUCGAGUCGUCCUUCGUGCAACACGCAAGUUUCAUUAAAAUGAAAUUAGUUUCAGAUGAAAGAUUUUCUUACAAUUAGACAAUUUACUUCUGUUCGCAA